AUGGGGACUGUGGCCAGCGGCGCCGCCGGGCUCGCCCGCGCGCGCGCGCGCUCCACCAACCAUCACGUGCUCAUUCUUUGGCGCGGCCCUCGCGGCCCCGCCGAUAAGGGAAUGUCCUCAGCACGUCCAACCGCCACGCGAAAGCUUUGAGGUUACAGUCUCAGGGGGAGUAGAGACCCGCUGGUUCAGGUUGAGGUUACAGUCUCAGGGGGA
rnacentral:rRNA from 1 species